GGGGGUGUAGUGUAGCCUGGUUUAGCAUUUAAGCUUUGGGAGCUUACGACAUGAGUUCAAAUCUCAUCACCCUCA
rnacentral:tRNA from 1 species